AUGGCGGCUCCGGCAGGGCCCACGAGGUUGGCCUACUUUGAUGACAUGUGGGCCCUCCGCGCCCCCGCCACCAUCCUCUCCCUCCAUCAGGAGGAGGGCGGCCGGCGAGCCGUGGUGCUGGACGCCACCGUCUUCCACCCGCAGGGCGGCGGCCAGCCGGCCGACACCGGGGCCAUCGUCUCCGCCGCCGGCGCCGGCGCCAGGUUCCUCGUCGAGGACGUGCGCGUCAAGGAUGGGGUGGUCUUCCACUAUGGCAGAUUCGAGGAUGCUGCUGGAGAGGAGCUCAGCCAAGGGCAGAGCGUCAGCUUGGAAAUAGACGCGGAACGGCGCAAACUCAACUCCAGGCUUCACUCUGCAGGACAUUUGCUGGACAAUUGCAUGACCAACCUUGGCCUUAAGCUGGAACCUGGGAAAGGAUAUCAUUUUGCUGAUGGGUAUGACCAUAUACAGGACUACCUAUUUUCCGAUUCUUCAUCUCUUGUUAUCCGUAACGCUGAUCGAUUGACUCUGUGUCUAGUUUUCAUGCCUUUUGUUGAGUAUAAAGGAGUUGUUCCAGCGGAUAAAUUGCAGGAUAAGAAACUUGAGUUAGAAAAGGAGGCAAAUGAACUGAUUUCUAAAGGAGCCAAGGUCUUAGUCUCUGUUUUCUCUGAUGAUGAGGCCGCUAAAUUAUGUGGAGGUGCUCUGCCUAGCUACAUUUCAGAGGGUAGCACUCCCCGCAUUGUGAAAUUUGGUGACUAUCCUGGCUGUCCUUGUGGAGGCACUCAUGUAGCCGAUAUCGCAGACAUCGGUAACCUAAAGGUCACAAAUAUACGAGUCAAGAAAGGUGUGACUAAAGUUUCCUACAGCAUCAGCCCAUAG
rnacentral:rRNA from 1 species